GAUAACAGUGGUGAUUGAAUGAUAAAUUUGAAUCGAAGCUGGAAUGGACGCCAUUGAAGACAUGUUCGAAUCUUCGUUGAACCUGGAGGAAUCGCACUUGAGAGAAGGCUACGACGAGGGCUACGCCGACGGGUUAAUCUCGGGGAAGGAAGAGGGGAAGCAAGUCGGGCUGAAAACCGGGUUCGAAACGGGCGAGGAAUUGGGGUUUUACCGCGGCUGCGUCGGAGUGUGGAGCGCCGCCAUUCGCGCCGACCCGAAUUUCAUGUCGGCUCGGAUCCAGAAGACGAUGAAGCAGAUGGAUGAAUUGCUGCAGAAUUACGCGAUUCUGGAGCCGGAAAACGAGGCCGUGUCCGACGCCAUGGAUGCCCUGCGACUCAAAUUCAAGAUCAUCUGUGCUAGCUUGAAUCUGAAAUUGGAGUACAAGGGUUAUCCUAAGUCGUCUGAUGCCGCUGGAGAUAUUGGAUUUUGAUUUGCAUGUUUACUGCCAACUGUUCGACAUAUGUUCUGAGAGAAAAUCUUGUUGAUUUCGGAAGAAACUACCUGAUCCUGAUUGUCUAUCCAACUGGAUAAUUUGGCGUCGCCACGGCCCACGCCACCCAUUUAUUUCGGAAGUUUUUGGUCCCAAUCAAAUCAAAUACUACUACUAGUCUACUAGUAUAAAAGGGGUGGAAGAAGCUCUUUUUCAAAGCUAGUCGAAAA